UUAGCUCUCUUCCUCCAGCUCCAGCCAUGUAAGACAAGCCUUCCUCUUCACCUCCUACCAUAAUUGUAGGAUUCCUGAGGCCUCCCCAGCCAUGCUUCCUGUAUAACCUGCAGAACUGGAAGAGUACAGCCUUGAUGCAGCGGUUGUUCUCAGGAAACAGAAGCUGAA
rnacentral:lncRNA from 13 species